rnacentral:rRNA from 1 species
UACGAAGGGGGCUAGCGUUGUUCGGAAUCACUGGGCGUAAAGCGCACGUAGGCGGAUGUGUCAGUCAGGGGUGAAAUCCCGGAGCUCAACUUCGGAACUGCCCUUGAUACAGCACGUCUUGAGUCCGGAAGAGGUGGGUGGAAUUCCUAGUGUAGAGGUGAAAUUCGUAGAUAUUAGGAAGAACACCGGUGGCGAAGGCGGCCCACUGGUCCGGUACUGACGCUGAGGUGCGAAAGCGUGGGGAGCAAACAGG